UCCCAUAAUCUCUCUUCACUUAGCUCCAUCUCUCCUUCCUUCAAGACCGAAUUCAGUUUCACGCUUUGUCCACUAAAGAAUUAUGCCGUGUGAUAUUCUCCCUUGAAGAAAAAUUCACUUCUCCCCAUUUUUCCUCCCCAACUGUAUUCAGUCCUCCCCAAAGUUCUAGAGACUUCCCUCUAAAAAUUCUGAUCACUUUCAUUCCCUCCAAAAUUCAAAUCUGUCCACUAAUAGUCACCUCUCUAAAACCUUCUCAUCCUAUUCCCUCCAAGCCAAAACCAUGCACUAAAUCCAUGUGACUCUAGAAAAUUCUGCCACCUUCAUUUUUUCCACAAACUGAGCACCAAACAGCCUCCAUUCUAGAAAAAUCUGAUGCUCACAACAAUCCCCACCGUGUGCACAAUCAGCUCAGGUGUUCUCCAGGUUCUGAUGCUCUCCACUUUACAAAUUUUGAUUUUGUCCACCAUGUGCACAACAAUUCUAGAAAAAUCCAUGAGACUCUAGAACAUUCUGCCACCUUCUUUUUUUCCACAAACUGAGCACCAAACAACCUCCAUUCUAGAAAAAUCCGAUGCUCACAACAAUCCCCACCAUGUGCACAAUCAGCUCAGGUGUUCUCCAGGUUCUGAUGCUCACAUGAAUCCUCCUUAAUAGCCCACUCUCAUGCCCUCCUUCUAGUGAAAUCCUCAUGUUUUCUUUCUCAUCACAGCCCACUUGCACAACUUGGAAAGGGUAAUUAUAUAUGUAUCUCAAGGAUCCCAUGCAUUUGGACAUUUCUUUUAGGAAUUAAUUUAGUGGGAGUACAGAACCUAUUUUUCCUUAAAUUUGAAAACAAAA
rnacentral:lncRNA from 1 species